rnacentral:rRNA from 1 species
GACGAACGCUGGCGGCGUGCUUAACACAUGCAAGUCGAACGGAAAGGCCCGGCUUUUGUUCGGUGGUCGUGUGGGGAACGGGUGAGAGACACGUGAGUAAACCCCCCUUGUCUGAGGGGUAACUCCCGGAGACUCGGGCGAAUACCGGAGAGGAGCUCCUGCUCCGUAGUGUUCGUUGGAAAGUUUCGGCGGUGCUGGAUCGACUCGCUGCUUAUGCGCUUGUUGGUGUAGUAGGUGCGUUCCAAGGCUUUGAAGGGUAGCCGGCCUGAGAGGGUGACCGGGCACAAUGGGACUGAGAUACGGCCCAGAAUCCUACGGGAGGCAACAGUGGGGAAUAUUGCGCAAUGGGGGGAAGCCUGAUGCAGCAACGCUGCGUGCGGGAAGACGGGCUACGGGUGGUAAACAACUUUCUCCGUUGAUGAAGCGUGCGUGACGGUAAUGGGUAAAGAAGCCCCGGCUAACUACGUG